GCCCUCACAGCCUUCUCCUGGUAAUGCCGCUGGUAAUAGGAGACGGAAAUCUGCAGUCUAUUCCUGGAACCUCCUCUGACUCAUCCCGUUAUCCGGGGACGAUUCUUAUUAUUUCUGCAUUACUCUUCCAUCUGUAGAAUGUGGAUACAUGUUAAUGCUCUAACCUUCAGGCAUCCUUGAGUCUGGGGUUUUCUGCUGGGAUCUGUCCCUCAGCAACUUCCGGGAAGCCACAUUUGGAAGAGCGGCCAUGGGCCGGGCAGCCCGGGCAUGGAAGGAUGUGGAAGGUUCAGGAUCUUGGCGGCAAGUCUGGGGUCCUUGCAGAGGAAGGAGUUGAUUGAAUGCAAGUCCAGGACUGAAUCCUUGUUAAAGGGAUAAGGACAGAGGAUUCAUCUCCAGGGUCCAAGUACUUGUUCUGAGCAAAUGAUAUAUCGUAAUUAAACACUAAUAUAUGAAGCACCCAGAGUUUAAAAUGAUUUUCGACAGUUAAUUCUGAUUAGCAUGUGAAGACCAUAGGGCAAGAAUCAUUAUCCACUCAAGCAGUCCACAGAGGCUGCCCCGGGCCACAGGGUCACCUUGUACAUCUGCCCAGACCCUCCGGAUCCUUCCUUCUCCAGAGCCAGCAGAGCCGGAGGGUGCACGGAGACGCACGGGCGUGCUGACAACACCUCGCACCAAGGGCACUGUGGUGGUGGAGCUGAGACGUGCACAGUGACAGAAGUCCUGGGCCGUUUCACUCUUCCCGCUCUUCUGGAAGCCUUCCGUGGGAGGUUUUAUCGCAACACUGCUAUUCACUGAAAGCGUGUCCUGAGUAACAAGAAAACCCUGCUAUGUGUCGCUGGCACUAGGACACGGGUAGCACUAACACCCAGUGGUCUGUUAUCAGGUUUAGCAGGUAAGGGUGGGCCCUCGGAGCCCCAUCAGCGGGAUUCAAAUCCCAGCUCUGCCUGCUCUGGGCUGUGACUUUUUGGGCACGUUUCAUUAUCCUGGGUCCCAGGUCCUCAACCAAAUAAUGGGGACAGGAGAAGUGCCCGGUCUCGUAGGACUGUUACCAUGAUGAAAUUGUACCAAUAAAUAUCCUGAGCUUAGCUUACUACCUGAUACUCAGCAACUUUUUCAUGUGGACUGAUAGCAUGACUGGCUGAGCUUAGGAAUAGGAAUUCAGAGAGGAAGGAACUUUUCCAACACCGGCCCGGUCGCCUCAGUCUGGGAGCUUCCCAAGGAGGGUUUGUAGACAGGCUUGACUUGAUGUAAGUUGCUGCUGUGGGGUCCAAUGAAGGCUGAAGCUAUUUGCAAUGUACCGUGUAGCCAUUGGAAGUGUCCAUAGCUUCCUACAGGACACUGUGCUGAGUCACAUUCCCGAAAACCAUCACACUUGAGGGGAUGGGCAGGCUACUGCAUGAGAACAUUAAAGAAAUGCAUCCAUUAAUGAUUGAGUGACUGUGGACAUCUCACUGUGGGUGUUAAUGGGUGCUGUGGAUGGAGUACCAGAAGCCUCUUCAUCCAGGUCUGGUAAGGGGCAUGUAAGGGUGCUCCUGGAGCUUGAGUAGGACUCAGAAGUCCUGCUUCACCUGGAGGUAGUGGGAACGAUGCUGACAAGGAGGGCUAGCUCAGCUCAUGUGUGUCGAGCACUGGGUUCAGCUAUUACCUGUCUGACCUUGGUUUACUCUUCCAAGGAGACAGUUACCAUUCUUAGUCCAUUUUAGAGAACAGGAUAUCUAAAAUUGAAGAAUCAGACAACUUACACGAAAUGGCAAAGAAGUGAAGCAAUGGAUCUGAAACUGAAGCCCAGGUCUGCCUGAUGAAGCAGUCUGUCCAAAUUCACCAUCAUGGUGUCUCAGGUCAAGGCAUUGAAGGUUAGAAUAAACUGCACCGAGGAAGUGGCAGUUUUAUUUGGAUAGAAGUGAAAAGAUGGAGAAGGCAAGAUGGCAUUGGUCCAGCAUCCACCUACCGUGUACUCAGCCAUACGGGCUGAAACAUGGAGGGAUAUUCAUGGAUAAGAGUUAAGUGGGCAGGAGCUGAAGAUUCGAAAUCAGGCCCUGUGACCUUUUUCACUUUAGUUUGCUCAUCCAGUGUGAAUAGAGCAGUACCCACACCACGGGCGAGUCGUGAGGACCGAGUGAGGUAAUGCAAGCAAAAUACUUAGCCAAGGACCUGGCACAUGAUGUUCAAAGGGACUUGAAAGGUAGUUCCUUGCACAGAGAAGUUACUCUGCUCAGCGGGAAGAAGGACCUGUUUCUUCGCAUUAAGCAUCUCUCUGCCACUCAGUUCCCACCAGCGUGCAGCAGACAUCUCUGGCUUCUGUCCAGUUUCCUCCCGCUGAGCCCCCAGGCCUCUAGCUCCCUCUGUGCAUCCCCGCCCAUGGGUGCUGCGGGAGGGGAUCCUCCUGGCCAGCCUGGAGGCCAGAGCCUGGACGCUCGCAGGGGGCCCUCCUGGAGGCAGAGAGUAGAGCCCUGAGCCUGGCUGGGCAGGACACCAGCCUCCCAGGGGGCCGCAGGGAGGGACGGAAAUUGGAGAGAUGUGGAUAAAUUCCAUUUAGCAAAUCACACAAUACGGGUGCAGGCACAAUGGCCUUUUCCACAGGCCGAUUAUCCCAGGCAGCGGCUUUGCUGUGUGAAAAAGGAGGGAGAAAGGAGCCGAGUGCCGAAGAAAGGCAAAGGCAGGCAGUGGCAGCAAUCAAUGCCGUCCUUUGUGGCGCCUGACAUUUGAGGGGCUUGUUAUCGGCGAUUGCCGGCUGCUUUAUCUAAUGUAUCUCCCCAGCUGCCAGGCGCGGCUGAUAGGCGCGGGACGUGUGAUGGCCCUGGCAGAUAGGAGCCGCCUCCCGGGUGCGGGCGCUGCCACUCUCCAGCAGGGCCCCUCCUCCCUCUCGCAGGGAAGAGGCGAUGCGCACCUUCUCAGAGUCCCAGCCAUGCUCUUUGUUCCUCCGUGGCCUCGAGGAGACAGAAAACCCCAGCCCCCCCCAAAGUCUGCCUCCCGCUUCCAAACGAAGUCCGGGCCAGAGGCAGCUGUGCCCCAUGGAGGGACAGACAGACAGGAAGGAGCGUUUGCAUUUCUUCAUUUGGACCAGAUGCUCUUCCCCAGGGUCUGUCCUUUGGUCCCGCCCCCGGGCAGCUGCUGUCGGGCGUGCACAGAGCUCUUCUUUCUUUCUACUCUUCGGACCCACCCAGGAUGAGUGUGUGCAGUUGGUGCCGGGUUUUGAUGUUGAUUUACGAAGUCUAGCCUCUCUCCAGCGGCACACCUGCAACUGCGCCUACGUAACGCCAUGGGUGGGACACAUCCCCAUUGACCGGACACACCUCCUGGUACCGGAGGCGAUCGCAGGCUGGAGGACACUUCUGGGCAUCCGGCCCGAUCUGGGGUAGUGCUGCACCAGGGAGAUGGGGAGGCCACUGCAUGACGGUUAGGAUGGCAGCGAUCAAGAAACCCAAAGACGAGUGCAUCAAGGCGUGCCGUGCAGGGAGUUGCCGCGCCCUGUCCGUGGGCACGCAGAAGGGUGCCACCACUAUGGAAAACAGUCUGGGAGUUCCUCAAAAUCUUAAAACUAGAACUGGACCUUAUGAUUCCAUAAUCCUAUUUCUGAGUAUUUAUCUAAAAGAAUUGAAGUCAGGAUCUCGAAGAGAUAGCUGCUACUCUCCUGUGACUGCUACAGCCUCAGUCACAGCCGCCAAGAUUCGGAGACGACCCAGCACUCACCAGUGCGGGAGAUGAAGAACGGGUGGCAUAUCCAUGCAACCCAGUGUUACCCAGAUUUUAAAAAGAAGCCGAUUCUACUACAGUAGGUAACAACAUGGACAAAACUCGAAACUGUUAGAUUAGGUGAAUUAAGCUAGUCACAAAUGACAAAUUCUGUGUGAUUCCAUUUCUCUGAGGUAUUUAAAAUAGGAAACCCACGGA